UUGUUCUGUAUGACCUCCUAUCAUUCCAGUUAUCUUGCUGGAAUACCACAGAACUCACCUUGGAAGACUUUUUCUCUAGCAGAUCAUUGUUACAUCUUCCAAUCACCUCAUCCUGUGCUGAAGGGUUUUAGUUUGAUUGUCUUCGGUGUGAAAACAGCUCCAUAACUAAUCAUCCUGUGUGACCUGCUCUGGAACUUUAUCAGAUGGAGAAUUUCAUUGGAUUUGAAUUCUCAGCAGACUGCUUCCUUCAAGCAAGAAAAAUUUGAAGGAAUAAUUUUCCCAUUUUGUAGAAAAAGUUUUUCACUCUAUCUUUAAUUUUCUGAAUAAACAAAAGGCUUGCAUUUCCUGAAAUGUUCAGCAGAUUUUCUGAAGGCUCUACUGAGAAAAGGAUUAGAAAAGAAGUAAAUACUGCCACAGGUUAUUUUUUUGUAUCGUUGCAGAGGUAACUUCUGACCCAUAAUAAAGUAAAAAGCAUUAAAAAGGCAAUGAUUAUGUGGUAAUCAUUAUCAAAGGUAUCAGUCACCUAUUGUAAGUAAAAUCCUGUAUAUUUUACAUUCUACUCUGUGGAAAUUGUUAGCAAAAGAAGUUUAAUGGCAGCCCACUCUAUUUUCUGAUUAGUAUUUCUCCCUUUCUUACCACUGCCGUGUGUUCUUCUCUGCCAUUUUAUUUUGCUCCACACAUUGUAUAGAAGAAAACAGAAUUAACAUUAUUUGUUUCUCAUUUCAUAUUCUCCCACCCCUAUGUGGUUAUUUUCUGUGAGCAGCAGCUCUUCUCAUCACAAUAUAAUGACUACUGUGGUGACUAGAGGAAUAAAACAUAACUUUAUUUUAACAUUAUUAUCAUCUCUAAGUUAAGUUGAUGAGGUCCUGACAGAUCUGCUGACUUUUCUCAAUGCCAUUUACAAGAAUGAUUCAAUUACAUCUAUUAUGUUUCCUCUGAAGGGAGUAUAGAAUAGAUAAAAAUAGCUUUGCAGGUUUCUGACCAGACCGUUCUAAAAGAAGAUUGUUCAUCCCACCAUACAAUCAAACAACUGGCUGAAAUUUUCAUGGCCUAGAAGGUGGUAUUUUUUUUUCUUUCAAACUUUGUUCACUAAUUAAUUUUAGAAUUACAUCUAUCAGUGUUCAGCUUAUGAUGCACCUCAAAGGCACCUUGCUAAAGUUCAUUUUUUAAAGAAGAGAAGAGUUACAGAGAAUGUCAAUUUAUUCUCAGGUUGAUUGCAUUUUUCAAAAUGUAUGUAAGCAGUUAAGACAAAAUAAGUUUAUUUCAGUAGUGAAGAGUGUAGUCUCCUUUUUAAACCCAAAGACAUUCAGAAGGAUCUCAACACAUUGAAGAAAUAGAUUAACAGGGAUCUCAUGAAUUUCAGUGAAGGGAAAUGCCAAGUCCUGUGCUGGGGACAAAUAACCCACACACCAGUACAUACUGCAGGCUGACUGACUGGAAAGCCGCUGGUAAGCAGUUUUUUUCAAGAAGGACCUUAGAGGACUAGAAGUCAACAUGCUGAGCACGAGCCAGUAAUGUGAUCCUGUGACAAAGAAGGCAAACAGCAUCCUGGACUGUGCUAGAAAGGCAAUCACAAACUAGAUGAAGAGAGGAGAUCCUUCCCCUCUGUUCAGCACAUUGAAAUGCUUUGUUUGUCUUUGGGCUCUUCAGAAUUUCAGGAGAGACAGAAUCAUAAAUCAUUGAGUCAUUGACACAGGAGCUACUGAAGCAAAUCCAGGACAAGGCCACAAAGACAUUUAAGGGACUAGACCAUCUUCCACAUGUGUGAGUCUGAGAGACCUAAAAUCAUUCAUCCUGGAGAAGAGAAAGCUCAGGCAAAUCUUACCAGAGUGUAUAAACACCUUUUGGAGCUGAGCGAAGAACACAGACCCUGUCUAUUCUCAGUGAUAUCCAGUGCCAAGAAAAUAAAUAAUGGGCACAAAAUGGAAGACAGGACUUUCUAGUAAAAAAAUAAAAAAAAAAUAAUAAUAAAAAAAUAACUGUCAAACUCUGAAACAGUUAGAGUAGACAGAUGCUCCAAUCUCCAUUCUUGAAGAUACUCAAAUCCAGAUGUACACAGCCCCAGCUGACCAUCCUUUGAACUGUUGUAAGGGGGACAGAACCUGACAAUCUCCAGAGGUUUUUUCCCAACAAAACUGCUCUGUGAUUCUGUAAUUGAGUUAUGUCAAAAAGGAGCUCUACCUUUAAAAAUGAGUUCUUUUUCCUAAGGAGAGAAUAUGAAAGGUAAACUGUAACCCCAGAAGCACACUGUUGUAGUUCAGCUCUGAAACCAGAGAAAAACAGAGAAACAUCAGUGUGGAUGGGACCUUGUGAGAUUAGUAUGUCUGAACCAUGAACAAAAAUCUCAGAUGGAAUUUACAGAUUGUGACCAUCUGGCAAAUUUGUCAGUGGGGAACUAUCAGUCCUCAUUAAGGGAAGAUAGAAGAUCACUAUCAAUGAAAUGUUCCACAAGGAAAGGACUAGUGGAGGAAAAGCAGAAUCAUACUAGAAAGACAAAUCUCAAGUCCAACAGGAAGCAUCAAGGGAAUGGUAUCAUCAAACUAAUGGACUAGAAAGAUAACUACAAAUUCCAGUGCAAAUCUGAAUACUCCAUUGAAUUAGUUCUGAUGCUCUGCAGUUUCACUGAAUUUUUAGUCUUCUUUAGUUCAGAUAUUGGCUUUUUUAUUUUUAAUUUAUUUUCUAGCUGUUCUUUUAGAUUUAAAAGUUAUUUUUAGUUGCAACACAAAUGUGUUUCCACAAUCAAAGCUCCACUUGAAUGCAAAUCAUUGGAAGUGUUUAAAAAUAUCUCCUCCCUGAAUAAAUAAGGAAUUAUUAACAAAAGUUUUAGGAAGUCAAACAGUGAUUAUUCCCAUAAAAGAGAAACAAGAUUUAGAGUAGAAUUUUUUUAAUGCAUUCUGUCUAGUAUUAUAAAUGUGGAUGAGUAGAAGAAUCUGGAUUAAUUUUUGUAGAGCCUCCUUAUUUUUCAUCAGUGCACUUCAUCUGAAAUUAUUAUGAAAAAUAUGUUAAUGCCUGGAAUGCAUAUGUUUAUAGGCUGUAAGUGAAUGACCACUGAAUUCUACAUGUAGUCUUAUUAUGCCAUGCUUCUGGUUGAUGGAACAGCAUUUUGAAUUUUUCUGAAAUCUUUCCAGUUUUUCAACAUUAGUUUUUGAAAGCACAGAAGCAGAAUAUUGUUUGCUUGUCCAGUAUCGGUAUUUCUGAAAGAUUAUUUUUUCUUCAUUAUUUUUGAGCUACAUUCUCUUAAUCAUCUCUAGUUAGAGAAUUAUUUUGAAAUCUGCUUUAUAACAGGUGUUUAUGACUUCUCUGUUGCAGUGCUGCAAGGUAUAACCUUUAGUUUGCUAAGUUGUAUUUUGUACACAAGCUGUACCAAUGCUUAUAAUGAGGCAUUUGGCUGUAUUAAGAUAUUCAUUCAAAACAGCCCACAGUACUGAACAGACAAGAAGAUUUCUCCCUGAGAUCUCUCUCCCAUAGCAAUUUGUUCUUCUGUCAUUCUUUUCACAAAUUAUGCCAACAUAUUUAUUUUUGAUGGAUAUAAACUUAUAUUAAAUCCCUGAGAUACCAGUCUGAUAAAGAUUCAGUGA